rnacentral:rRNA from 1 species
GGCCUACCAUGGUGGUAACGGGUAACGGGGUGUUAGGGCACGACACCGGAGAGGGAGCCUGAGAAACGGCUACCACAUCCAAGGAAGGCAGCAGGCGCGCAAAUUACCCAAUCCCGACACGGGGAGGUAGUGACAAUAAAUAACAAUACAGGGUUCUUUUGGAUCUUGUAAUUGGAAUGAGUACAAUUUAAAUCUCUUAACGAGGAACAAUUGGAGGGCAAGUCUGGUGCCAGCAGCCGCGGUAAUUCCAGCUCCAAUAGCGUAUAUUAAAGUUGUUGCAGUUAAAAAGCUCGUAGUUGAAUUUCGGGAUCAAUAUAUCGGUCGUGCCUUGGUACGUACUGGUAUCAUUGGUUUCUCCCUUCUGACGAACCAUGAUGUCAUUAAUUUGGUGUUAUGGGGAGUUAGGACUGUUACUUUGAAAAAAUUAGAGUGUUUAAAGCAAGCAUUAGCUUGAAUACAUUAGCAUGGAAUAAUGAAAUAGGACGUUUGACCCUAUUUUGUUGGUUUCUAGGAUCGACGUAAUGAUUAAUAGGGAUAGUUGGGGGCAUUAGUAUUCAAUUGUCAGAGGUGAAAUUCUUGGAUUUAUUGAAGACUAACUACUGCGAAAGCAUUUGCCAAGGAUGUUUUCAUUAAUCAAGAACGAAAGUUAGGGGAUCGAAGACGAUCAGAUACCGUCGUAGUCUUAACCAUAAACUAUGCCGACUAGGGAUCGGAUGAUGUUAAUUUUAUAAUGACUCAUUCGGCGCCUUACG